CACGUAGGGGGCGAGCGUUUUCCGGAUUUAUUGGGCGUAAAGAGCUCGUAGGCGGCUUAGUAAGUCAGGUGUGAAACCUCCAGGCUCAACCUGGAGACGCCACCCGAUACUGCUGUGGCUAGAGUCCGGUAGGGGAGCAGGGAACUCCUGGUGUAGCGGUGAAAUGCGCAGAUAUCAGGAAGAACACCAGCGGCGAAGGCGCUGCUCUGGGCCGGAACUGACGCUGAGGAGCGAAAGCGUGGGGAGCAAACAGG
rnacentral:rRNA from 1 species